GGGGAAAAUCACUACGACGCCUUCUGGGGCCCCCGAAAACAAGGCAGACGGCAGUCGGCAAAGUCGAGCCCCAAACCCCGGAGAACUGAAGACCCAAAGAACUGGAGAAACUCUGUUGAACCACAGAGGCAACAUGUUGCACAUGCACUCGCCAAAAGCAAUUUGCAUACAAAUGUUGCCAACGCACUUCAAAAACUGCACAAUCACAGGGGUUUUCACGGGGGGUGGGGGUGGUAUGGUGCAGCGGAAAAGGGUAAAAGCCGCUUCAUAAUUUGAUAUUAAACAUGCACGCGUGUCUCCUUCUCUUUUUCUCUCAUGUGUGCAACUUGUAAAUUUGCAAAUUGCUAAAAUGCAAGAGACAGGAACAAAGGGCGAGGAUCUAAAAGGGGAAGAAGGAGACUUUUGGGCAGCUGCGUGAAUUUGCAUUUACAUCAAGGAACCGCAGGACAGGAAAAGGUUCGCAAAAAGUUACCCAAAAUUCAGCCUCACAAGGAAACUGAAUAAAAAAGCCAAGUCUGCUCAAUUGACUUUCAA